rnacentral:rRNA from 1 species
CGGGGGGGGCAAGCGUUGUUCGGAAUUACUGGGGCGUAAAGGGUCUGUAGGUGGCUUGCUAAGUCAGACGUGAAAUCCCUCAGCUUAACUGGGGAACUGCGUCUGAGACUGGCGAGCUUGAGUGCAGGAGAGGAACGCGGAAUUCCAGGUGUAGCGGUGAAAUGCGUAGAUAUCUGGAGGAACACCGGUGGCGAAGGCGGCGUUCUGGACUGCAACUGACACUGAGAGACGAAAGCCAGGGGAGCAAACGGGAUUAGAUACCCCGGUAGUCCUGGCCCUAAACGAUGAAUGCUUGGUGUGGCGGGUACCGAUCCCUGCCGUGCCGAAGUUAACGCGUUAAGCAUUCCGCCUGGGGAGUACGGUCGCAAGGCUG